rnacentral:rRNA from 1 species
UACGUAGGGUGCGAGCGUUGUCCGGAAUUAUUGGGCGUAAAGAGCUCGUAGGCGGUCUGUCGCGUCGGAUGUGAAAGCCCGGGGCUUAACUCCGGGUCUGCAUUCGAUACGGGCAAACUAGAGUAUUGCAGGGGAGACUGGAAUUCCUGGUGUAGCGGUGAAAUGCGCAGAUAUCAGGAGGAACACCGGUGGCGAAGGCGGGUCUCUGGGCAAAAACUGACGCUGAGGAGCGAAAGCGUGGGGAGCGAACAGG